GACGAACGCUGGCGGCGUGCUUAACACAUGCAAGUCGAACGAUGAAACCUAGCUUGCUAGGUCGAUUAGUGGCGAACGGGUGAGUAACACGUGACUAACCUGCCCCUUUCUCUGGGAUAACGCUCCGAAAGGAGUGCUAAUACCGGAUACUCACAUCGAGGCACAUGCCUUGGUGUGGAAAGUUUUUCGGAAAGGGAUGGAGUCGCGGCCUAUCAGCUUGUUGGUGAGGUAACGGCUCACCAAGGCGACGACGGGUAGCCGGCCUGAGAGGGCGACCGGCCACACUGGGACUGAGACGCGGCCCAGACUCCUACGGGAGGCAGCAGUGGGGAAUAUUGCACAAUGGGCGCAAGCCUGAUGCAGCGACGCCGCGUGAGGGAUGAAGGUCUUCGGAUUGUAAACCUCUUUCAGUAGGGACGAAGCGAAAGUGACGGUACCUAAAGAAGAAGCACCGGCUAACUACGUGCCAGCCGCCGCAGUAA
rnacentral:rRNA from 1 species